rnacentral:rRNA from 1 species
GACGUAGGGUGCAAGCGUUGUCCGGAUUUAUUGGGCGUAAAGAGCUCGUAGGCGGCUUGUUGCGUCGACUGUGAAAACCCGCGGCUUAACUGCGGGCUUGCAGUCGAUACGGGCAGGCUAGAGUUCGGUAGGGGAGAUCGGAAUUCCUGGUGUAGCGGUGAAAUGCGCAGAUAUCAGGAAGAACACCCGUGGCGAAGGCGGCUUUCUGGGACGGUACUGACGCUGAGGAGCGAAAGCGUGGGGAGCGAACAGG